GCUGCCCUUGCUUGUGUUGCAUCUAUCUACAGCCCCUGAUCCUCGUUGUGUCUUCUCCGUCCCGGUUCCCGAUUGCCCUUUGACCCCGACUGGCCAAGUUAAGCUCAAGUACUGCUUCUUAGUCCGGGAAGAUGGUGUCUGUGACGGGUUGGUGCUGGGAGGUGCUCCCUGGUCGGGAAAUGCGCAUAGCCGGCUUCUUAGUCUCAACUCUGUGAUGACCAAAGGUCAAGGGUUCAAGGGAGGCCAGCAUGUUCUUCAUCACGGAUGAGAGUAGACUAACUUCAAGUUUAAACACUCCUGAAAGGGGUUGGAAUUUUGACAGGCAGAAAUUUAAACUUUAGUCUGGGCAGAGGAAACCACUGCGCAAUAAAAAGGUCUGGAGGUUGGAAAGCUGGAAACUAGGUCAGGCACCAGGAGUCUACGUUUAUUCAAAUACGAUUGCAUCCCAUCAGUGGAUCCUUUUACACCCUGAGAAAUUAAGAAUUCUUUUAUUUCCGUGAGUUAUGUCAGCAUUUAUUAGUAUUAAUGUUUUAAAUACACUAGUACAUUAAAUGUCAAAGUAGCGUUUUUAUGAAAAUAACUUUUCAAAGCUAAAAAAAAAAAAUGUAGUGAGAGAAAUGUGAUGCCACGUUUAAUAGAAGGCAACUGGAUUGUCUAGCUGCUUCUGUAUAUUAAUGUUAUCCCUUUUCACAUAGCUCAGGAAAACUUCACACCAUCAACUUGGGAUGAUGAGAAUAAAAAAGCAAGUUACCUCUUAGUAUUAAGAAAAUAGCUUUGCCAGGCAUGGUGAUGUAUGGCCAGCCUGGGCUACAUAAUGAGUUCAAGGCCAUAGGGAGACCAUGUUUCCAAAAAAAAGUUUUGACCUUACAGAUCCCUAAAAAAGAUCUCCAAGAAAUUCCUUUCCCAACCACCAGGGAGUCUGAUACUUGGAGCUCUGGCAUAGAGGAAAUUAAUUUACACAACAAAAGGUCUAAUCUGCUGGGUGUGGUGGCAUACACCUGUAAUCCCACCUACUUUCAAGGCUGAGGCAGAAGGAUCUCAAAUUUGAGGCUGGUCUGGGCAAUUUAGCGAGACUCUGUCUCAAAGAAUUAAAAGGGUUUGGAACAUAGCUCAGUGCUGAGGCCCUGAGUUUGAUCCCAGUACCACACACAUGCACACACAAAUUCUAAAUCAAUUGUAACAAAAGCUCACUUUUUAAAGUAUUAACUAUGUAUAUGGUUCAAAAUGCUUUAAAUUUAUGUAGAGAUACAGUUGAAUUAGAUGACAUCUGAAAUCAUUCAGUUCCAAAAUUGUGGAACUGGAUUAGCACAGAGAGAUUGCAUCAGAGCAGAAUAAGAGUCUCAGCCAGCAAUUAAAAUCUUCAGAGGAAGUGGUAUGCAUCACGGAACACUUAACCAAUGCUGAUGUCAUGAGUCUUCUUCAAUUUACAUUGAGGGGGAAAAAAAGGAAAAGACUAAAGGUACAAAAGAGAAGUUUGCUCUUAAUCAAUUCAGUGUUUAAAGAUAUGGUUUAAGCAGUGAUUUCUGAUCUUUUCACCCUCAACUUUGAUUGAAACAAUAAAAACUCAAUGUAGUCUACAAGAUUUUCCACAACUGGGCUCCUUCCAACCUCUCCAGCUGAGAUAGGAGAUUAGGGCUUGGAAAAGCUGGCUGGAGAGGUAGAUGAACUGUUAAUUACAGGAUCCCAGACACACAGGCAGAAAAGUUCCCUAAGCCCUGCACGUGGACUUCUUAGGGGAACUCAAGCAGGUUUUCAAUAGGAUGACCUAGACCUGAAGUCAGCUUGAGGCAUGGGAUCCCAGCACCAUCUCUCAGGACGCCUAUGUAAAAGUUCUUAUGGGUUUCCUUGAGAUUUCGACAACAUAUAAAGACACAGAUACCACAAGGAGCCCACUAUCAUGGCUUUCCUCAUGAUAGCCUGCCCUGCUUUCUCCAGGGUGUUCUUUUUUCUUGCUUUUUCCUCUUUUACUUGGCCCAAGCUUAUGCUGCAGAGCCAGUUUCUCCCUCCCUCUUCACUUUUACUUUUUCAAGUAAACUUUGCCACUGCUUUUUGCUCAUUUACUUGAAUUGUUUGUUUGAGACAAGAAAAACCUGGACUCCAACUCCAGAAGAAAAGGCAAGCAACCCAGAACCCGGUAACAUUUAUGUGGUGAGCCACUUUUAGAAGGAGCUAUCCAACAACACAACUGCAUUUUGUGCCAUUUCCCCUCCUUCUCAAGUUGGUUUUGUCCCUCAUGCCUUCCUUCAAAUCACAGCCUCAUGUGUGUGGAAGAUCCUCCACACUGCCCCACCCUUCCACAGUUGUUAUGAAAUCACUCCAACUAUUAACACCUGUCCUUCAUAGUACUGAUUUCCCUGUGUGGUUAUUUGAUCAAUGUUUGACUCCUCCUCUCUCGCCUUCUCCAGAUUGAAACUCCAUGAGGAAGCUGUAUGCCUGAUUUUGUUCACUGAGUUUCCAAACUGAUACAGUUCCUAGCACAUGUGUUACCUCGGUUCAUGAACUUAAUUCAUUCCAUGAUUCUGGAAAAGAUGGCCAUGUGCAUGUUCAUGCAGGAAAGAAGGCCACAGUCUGUCACCUGAUGCAGAGUUGGAAAACAAAAACAAAAUUUUGCCAAAUGUUUCUUUUUGCAAACCAGUUGUUUAUUUGAUGGAAAGGAAAAUUCAAAGCAUGAAAGAUAUGGUAUUAUGCGACGUCUGGCUCUUCCCCAAAGUCAAAAUGACCACAAAAGGUAAACAUUUUGAAUUGAUUCAGGACAUUGAGGCAGCCACCACAACAGUGUGACUAAAGACAUGAAAGAGGACUUCCAGAACUUCUUCAAAAAGUAGCAAAAGCAAUAGGAUAAGUGUAUUUGAAGAGAGGAGGAGUAUUUUGAGGGAGAUUAAUGGCAAUGUUGUCUUUUACUGUACUUUUUAAAUUUUAAACAUUCACCACAAAUUUUAAUCAUGCUUAGAUCUUUGGUGAAACAGAAAGGUCAGUGUUACCGAAACAGUGCUAACCACUAUGUUUGAUGGGAUAAAGCCAUGCUAUUAAAGGUCAUGAGGUAGUCACUAAUCAUGAAAGCCAAGUACCUCAGCAGAAAACCUAAGGAGUUAAAGAUGAGGACCAGCUUAUAGCCUAGUGACUGAAUAGGUUGGGAUAAGUACUUUUCAGAAAAAGAGAAAGAAAUAGAAGACAGAAAGGGAGGAGAGGAGUAAGGGAGCAAGGAAGGAAGGAAUAGCAACCUGAUAUUAGGCAAUCAACAAACUAUAGUAUAUUUUAAAAUAUGUCUAUAAAUUCUUUGAUGUUCCUCCUUUAAGAAGUGAAGCCUAAAUCUCCUCCCCUUAAGUGGAGACUGGACUCAAUAACUCAUUUCCAAUUAAUAUAAUAUGGCAGAAGUAACACUGUAAGACCUUCUAGAUUAAAUCAUAAAUAGACUAUAAGAAAAAAAAGACUAUAGAGCUAUUAAAAAAAAUAUAAGACAAAAAGACUAUAAGAGCUAAUAUAUGUUUGCCAAGAUUCCAGAAUACAAGAUUAAUAUAUAAAAAUCAGCUGUAUUUCUUUACAAUAGCAAUGAACAGUACAAAAUUUAAAUGAAGAAAGUAUAAUCACAUCGAAAUAAUAAAAUUUGAGAAAUUUAACAAAAGCACAAAAUUUGUACUCUCAAAUCUAUAAACAAUCAUUGAAGAAUAUUAAAGAACACCAAAAUAGUAGGAAGACAUCCACUGUUCAUGGAUUAGAACAGUGUUGUUAAGACAACAAUAUUCUCUAAACUGAUCUAAAUUUUGAUACAAUCUCUUUCAAAAUGCCAUAUUGCUUUUUUGCAGAAAUUGAUAGUCUGAUCCUAAAAUUCACAUAGACACAAAAGAGACCUUGGAAAACUAAAGCAAUUUUGGGAAGGAAGUACAAAGUUAGAGGACACAUACAUCCCAAUUUCAAAACUUAACAAAAAUUACAGAUCUACAAUAAUCAAGACUGAGUGAUACUGGCUUAAGGAAAGACAAAGAUCAAUGAAAUUUUGAAAGUCCAAGAAAUAAACAUACGAAUGUAUGGUAAGUGGCUUUCUACAAGGAUCCUAAGACAAUGUGAUAGUCAAGACAGUCUUUCCAACAAACUACACUAAGACAACUGAAUAGCUACACAUGAAAGAAAUUGGAUCCCUGUCUUACACCAUAUACACAAGCUCAAAAUGGAUCAAAGAGCUAAAAGAGCAAAACUAUAAAAUUCACUGAAGAAAACAUAGGUACAAAUUUUUAUGAUUUGGGAUCUGGCAAAGAAUUCUUAGAUGGGAUAGCAAAGGCAUGAACAAAAAGAAAAAGAUAAAUUGGAUUUCAUCAAAAUUUUUGUGCUUCAAAAGACUAUCAAAAGGGUGAAAAGACAAAAUAUUUGCAAGUUAUGUAUCUGAUAAAGGACUUGUGCCUAGAAUAAGGAACUAUUACAAUAACAAAUAGCCCAGCUUAAAAAUGGGUAUAGGAUUUGUACAGAUAUUUCUCAAAAAAAGAAUAGAAAUGGCCAAAUAGCACAUUAAAAGAUAUUGAAUAUCAUUAUUCAUUAGCAAAUAAAAAUAUAAAUCAAAACCACAGUGAAAUACUACUUCGCACUAGGAUGGCUAUAAUAAAAAAAGAUGAAAGAAGAAAGAGAGAGAAAGAAAAGAGAGAGAAAGUAUUGGCAAGGAAGGAUGUGGAGAAAUUGGAGCCCCAUACAUUUCUGGUUAGAAUGUAAGUGCUGCAGCCACUUUGGGAAACAGAUUCAAAGUUCCUUAAAAAGUUAAAUGUACAGUUACCAAUUGACCCAACAAUUCCACUCCUAGGUAUAUAGCCAAAAGAAUUGAAAACAUGUCCACAUAAAAACUUGUAUAUAAAUAGCCUUAGAAACAUUAUUUAUAAUAUACAAAAGGCUGGAAACAACUCACAUUUUUAUAAGUUUAUGAAUGCAUAAACAAACUGUGAUCUAUCCACACAGUGCAGUACUGUUUGACCUUAAAUAAUAAUGAAGUACUGAUACAUGCUGUUACACGCAUGAACCUUGAAAACAUGCUAAUUGAAAGAAGCCAGACACAAAAGACUAUGUAUUAUAUGAUUCCAUUUAUAAGAAAUGCCUAGAAUACAAAAAUUCAUAAAGACAGAAAAUAGAUUAGUUGUUAUGGGAAUCUGUGGAGAGGGAAAAAUGGGAAGUUGCUGCUAGUGAGUAUGGAGUUUCUUUAGGGAAUGAUGAAAAUAUUUUGGAAUUAGUAAUGAUUGUUGCUCAACCUGAUGAAAAGAAUGACUGAUUAUGCACCUCAGAAAGAUGAAUGUUGUGGUAUGUAAAUUGUCUUACUUUUUUAGAACUUAUUUUUUAAAAGUCACUGCUGCAAAUCUCUCCUUAUCUCUUUCCAUCCCUCCU